GACGAACGCUGGCGGCGUGCUUAACACAUGCAAGUCGAACGGAAAGGCCCUGCUUUUGUGGGGUGCUCGAGUGGCGAACGGGUGAGUAACACGUGAGUAACCUGCCCUUGACUUUGGGAUAACUUCAGGAAACUGGGGCUAAUACCGGAUAGGAGCUCCUGCUGCAUGGUGGGGGUUGGAAAGUUUCGGCGGUUGGGGCUGGACUCGCGGCUUAUCAGCUUGUUGGUGGGGUAGUGGCUUACCAAGGCUUUGACGGGUAGCCGGCCUGAGAGGGUGACCGGCCACAUUGGGACUAAGAUACGGCCCAGACUCCUACGGGAGGCAGCAGUGGGGAAUAUUACACAAUGGGCGGAAGCCUGAUGCAGCAACGCCGCGUGCGGGAUGACGGCCUUCGGGUUGUAAACCGAUUUCGCCUGUGACGAAGCGUGAGUGACGGUAAUGGGUAAAGAAGCACCGGCUAACUACGUG
rnacentral:rRNA from 1 species